UACGUAGGGGGCUAGCGUUGUCCGGAAUCACUGGGCGUAAAGCGCGUGUAGGCGGCUAUCUAAGUCUGAUGUGAAAGCCCUGGGCUCAACUCAGGAAGUGCAUUGGAUACUGGAUAGCUGGAGUACCGGAGAGGAGGGUGGAAUUCCUGGUGUAGCGGUGAAAUGCGUAGAUAUCAGGAGGAACACCGGUGGCGAAGGCGUCCCUCUGGCCGGAUACUGACGCUGAGACGCGAAAGCGUGGGGAGCAAACAGG
rnacentral:rRNA from 1 species